rnacentral:rRNA from 1 species
AGAGUUUGAUCCUGGCUCAGAUUGAACGCUGGCGGCAGGCCUAACACAUGCAAGUCGAGCGGUAGAGAGGUGCUUGCACCUCUUGAGAGCGGCGGACGGGUGAGUAAUGCCUAGGAAUCUGCCUGGUAGUGGGGGAUAACGCUCGGAAACGGACGCUAAUACCGCAUACGUCCUACGGGAGAAAGCAGGGGACCUUCGGGCCUUGCGCUAUCAGAUGAGCCUAGGUCGGAUUAGCUAGUUGGUGAGGUAAUGGCUCACCAAGGCGACGAUCCGUAACUGGUUUGAGAGGAUGAUCAGUCACACUGGAACUGAGACACGGUCCAGACUCCUACGGGAGGCAGCAGUGGGGAAUAUUGGACAAUGGGCGAAAGCCUGAUCCAGCCAUGCCGCGUGUGUGAAGAAGGUCUUCGGAUUGUAAAGCACUUUAAGUUGGGAGGAAGGGCAGUUACCUAAUACGUAUCUGUUUGACGUACCG